GACGAACGCUGGCGGCGUGCUUAACACAUGCAAGUCGAACGAAGUGGCGAACGGGUGAGUAACGCGUAAUCAACCUGCCCUUCAGAGGGGGACAACAGUUGAAAACGACUGCUAAUACCGCAUACUGAAUGAGUGGCUUGGGUCUUAUUAGCUAGUUGGAGGGGUAACGGCCCACCAAGGCGAUGAUCAGUAGAGGGUAUGAGAGGAGGAACGGCCAAAGGGGAACUGGGAAACGGCCCAGACUCCUACGGGAGGCAGCAGUGGGGAAUCUUGCGCAAUGGGCGAAAGUCUGACGGAGCAACGCCGCGUGAAUGAAGACGGCCUUCGGGUUGUAAAGCUCUGUUAAUCGGGACGCGGUACCGGAAUAGAAAGCCACGGCAAACUACGUGCAAGAAGCCGGGGAAAUA
rnacentral:rRNA from 1 species